UACGUAGGGACCAAGCGUUGUUCGGAUUUACUGGGCGUAAAGGGCGCGUAGGCGGCAAUUCAAGUCAUCUGUGAAAUCUCCGGGCUUAACUCGGAACGGUCAGAUGAUACUGCUUUGCUAGAGUGCGGAAGGGGCAAUCGGAAUUCUUGGUGUAGCGGUGAAAUGCGUAGAUAUCGGAAGGAACGCCGGUGGCGAAAGCGAUCGACUGGACCUUUUCUGACGCUGAGGCGCGAAAGCCAGGGGAGCAAACGGG
rnacentral:rRNA from 1 species